rnacentral:rRNA from 1 species
GAUGAACGCUGGCGGCGUGCCUAAUACAUGCAAGUCGAGCGAACGGACGAGAAGCUUGCUUCUCUGAUGUUAGCGGCGGACGGGUGAGUAACACGUGGAUAACCUACCUAUAAGACUGGGAUAACUUCGGGAAACCGUAGCUAAUACCGGAUAAUAUUUUGAGCCGCAUGGUUCAAAAGUGAAAGACGGUCUUGCUGUCACUUAUAGAUGGAUCCGCGCUGCAUUAGCUAGUUGGUAAGGUAACGGCUUACCAAGGCAACGAUGCAUAGCCGACCUGAGAGGGUGAUCGGCCACACUGGAGCUGGGACACGGUCCAGACUCCUACGGGAGGCAGCAGUAGGGAAUCUUCCGCAAUGGGCGAAAGCCUGACGGAGCAACGCCGCGUGAGUGAUGAAGGUCUUCGGAUCGUAAAACUCUGUUAUUAGGGAAGAACAUAUGUGUAAGUAACUGUGCACAUCUUGACGGUACCUAAUCAGAAAGCCACGGCUAACUACGUG